GCUGGAGUGCAAUGGCAUGAUCUUGGCUCACUGCAGCCUCCACCUCCUGGGUUCAAGCGGUUCUCGUGCCUCAGUCUCCCAAGUAGCUGGGAUUACAGGCUGGAGUGCGAUGGCAUGAUCUUGGCUCACGGCAAACUCCGCCUCCCUGGUUCAAGUGAUUCUCCUGCCUCAGCCUCCCGAGUAGCUGGGAUUACAGGCAUGUGCCACCAUGCCCCGUUGGCCAGGCUGGUCUCGAACACCUUACCUCAGGUGAUCCUCCCACCUUUGGGAUUACAGGCUGAGGAAUUACCAAGGAGGCAGGAGGUGGAGCAAAACACACCAAGCCUGAUGCCAAUCAUUGACAAUAUUAUGGAACUGACUCAGCGCAAGAAGACAGCUUCGACUCCUUAUGAUUUCAUCCCUAACCAAUCAGCACUCCUGGCUCACUGGCUUCCCCCAACCCACCAAAUUGUCCUUAAAAACUCUGUUCUCCAAAUGCUGGGGGAGACUGAUUUGAGUAAUAAUAAAACUCUGGUCUCCUGC
rnacentral:lncRNA from 1 species